CUACGGGCCGCAGCAGUGGGGAAUAUUGGACAAUGGGGGAAACCCUGAUCCAGCAAUGCCGCGUGUGUGAAGAAGGCCUGCGGGUUGUAAAGCACUUUCGGUUGGGAGGACUGCUUCUAGCACUAAUAUUGUUGGAAGUUGACGUUACCUUCAGAAGAAGCACCGGCUAACUCCGUGCCAGCAGCCGCGGUAAUACGGGGGGUGCAAGCGUUAAUCGGAAUUACUGGGCGUAAAGCGCGCGUAGGCGGCUAGAUCAGUCGGGUGUGAAAGCCCCGGGCUUAACCUGGGAACUGCAUCCGAUACUGUCUAGCUUGAGUACGGGAGAGGAGAGUGGAAUUCCACAUGUAGCGGUGAAAUGCGUAGAUAUGUGGAGGAACACCAAUGGCGAAGGCAGCUCUCUGGCCUGAUACUGACGCUGAGGUGCGAAAGCGUGGGGAGCAAACAGGAUUAGAUACCCGGGUAGUC
rnacentral:rRNA from 1 species